GUUGCGCCCGAGGGACUCGCCCGAGGGCACGCCUGCCUCAUGGGCGU
rnacentral:rRNA from 1 species